rnacentral:rRNA from 1 species
CCUACGGGCGGCUGCAGUGGGGAAUAUUGGUCAAUGGGCGGAAGCCUGAACCAGCCAAUUCGCGUGAGGGAUUAAGGCCCUGCGGGUCGUAAACCUCUUUUGCCGGGGAGCAGUGGUCCGGACGUGUCCGGGCCGGGAGAGUACCCGGAGAAAAAGCAUCGGCUAACUCCGUGCCAGCAGCCGCGGUAAUACGGAGGAUGCGAGCGUUAGCCUGAUUUAUUGGGUUUAAAGGGUGCGUAGGCGGGCAUUUAAGCCGGCGGUCAAAUGUCGGGGCUCAACCCCGGCCUGCCGUCGGAACUGGGUGCCUUGAGUGGGCGAGAAGUAUGCGGAAUGCGUGGUGUAGCGGUGAAAUGCAUAGAUAUCACGCAGAACCCCGAUUGCGAAGGCAGCAUACCGGCGCCCUACUGACGCUGAGGCACGAAAGUGCGGGUAUCGAACAGGAUUAGAUACCCGGGUAGUC